UGUAGAAUGGGAACUACACACAAUUUGUAAAAGAGCACAUUGGUUUUCAGUGUGUGUAGAGGAAAUGCUAAGUCAUGGCUUGAAAUAGUGACCAAGCACUUGGUGAAAAGGCAGGGCCAACCCAGGGGAGCUCAGGUGCAUGCCAUAGUUCCCAGACCUCAUUUAAGUGCUGACAGUGGAGGCAAGGGGAUCUUGCUGGAGAACCCUGUGUACCUGAGGUCUUCUGAAGAUAUGGGGCUGCCUGGCCUCCUACAAACGUUGAGAGAGAAGUAAAGAAAGCUUAAAUACGUCUUUGUUCCUUUCACAUCCUAAUGAGAUAAGGAUGAGUGCUUGCUUUCCUUCAACCAACUAAGAAGCAUGCUCACUGACUGAAAAUCAAAGACUGCUCUUACGCCUGUGUGGAAUAGAACUGGUCAAGGCUGAUCUAGCAUCCAAGACAGCUCCUUGCUUUGCUUCUCUGCAGAUAUUUCAUUAAAAAAAAAAAAAAAGAAAGAAAAAUUGAGGGAUUAAUGUAGACAAUGUUGGGACACUGCACAAGAAAUGAGUAUUUUGCAAAGUUCUAGCCCUCUACUGAUGUCACGGCUAAAGAUGUGUCUACCACUAACGAGGAUGAAACAUUUAAAGCCUGAGGAGAAUCAGUUCAACAAAGUUCACAAGACAAAAGUGAUAGGACAAAGCUUUAAGCUAAAAGAUGGGAGAUUUAUGUUAGGUACAAGGAAGAAAUUCUUUAGAGGAUGGUGAGGCCCUGGUACAGUUUGCUCAGAGAAGCUAUGAAUGCCGUGUCACCAAAAAUGUUCAAGGCCAGGUUGGAUGGGACCCUGGGAAACCUUGUAUAGUGAGAGAUGUCCCUGCUUAUGGCAAAGGACUUGGAAUUUCAAGAUCUUUAAAAGUUCCCUUCAAACCAAACCAUUUUAUUAGGGUUAUAUCAAUCACUGAACCAUAAUUUUCUAUGCCCAAUUUCCUACUGUAGAGUAGGAAAGAUGGAGGGAAGACUUGAUCUUUCCGGAGUGUUAACAAUUGCAUGAAUGAGAAAGGGGUAAAUUGCUUUUUAUCUAAGUUUUGGAUAAGAUUAGAAAGGUUUAUAAGGAACACAAGCUUUCCCAGAAAAAAAAUAUUAACUGCUUGACUAUGAGAGACUGAAGAGAAACCAAGUUUAUCAGGAUAAACAUAAUCCUGAAAGUUUCAUCACAGUAAAACAGAGAUUUAGGGAAGUAUGGCAGAUGAGUUCAGAAUAUAUUUUCUUCUACG
ensembl:lncRNA